rnacentral:lncRNA from 1 species
AGAAGGAGUUGCUGAGAAGGAGCUGUGGUUCUGACCUUCAGGGGAAUUCCCACGUCUGUAUGGUGGCUCGUGAAGAGCAUGGUUCCUUUUCUCAGCCCUCUUGAGGGGCGAGGAUGCUGAGGACUGAAGUCGGUGGGGCUUGAUGCAUGUGGUCACUGAGAGGCUGCCAGAGGGCCAUUUUCAUGACCAGAGGGAUCUGUUCAACACCCUGUGGGUCCCAGCACCUAUCUCAGGAAGCAGGGUGCAUCUGUCCACCACCAAGUCUCAGGGUGGCUGGGUGAGCGCUCAUCAGUCCCAGACAGCAGGUUGGCACAAAACGACACUGCCCACAAAACCACAGGAAGAAGAGAAACUCCGACUGUCUUUCAGCACACAGAAGACACUGUACUGGACCCGGACAUUAGGCAGACACCCACGCCUGACUUUCAGGAGAAAAGAGAACAUGACUAACGGAUAUUCUUAGUAGAUGGUUUAUUAGAAAAGAGAACAUCUUCCAGCAUGUGUCCUGGGGUGAUGGGUGUGGGAAGCACUCAGUCCAUAGUCCUGGUCCCUGGCUUCCCCAAGCCCAGCACCAUGAAUGUACAGUGGAAAGCAGAGGGUGCAGCGUCUCAGAAAGAUGCUUCCACUCACAAGGAUUGGAGCUCACAAGUGAGCUCCAUAACCUGCAAACCAGAGAAACCUGAGACACUGCCCCUUGGCCAUUUUAUCAACGGAGACUUUAUUGUGAU